rnacentral:rRNA from 1 species
UUCUUCGGAACACGUGGACAGGUGCUGCAUGGCUGUCGUCAGCUCGUGUCGUGAGAUGUUGGGUUAAGUCCCGCAACGAGCGCAACCCUUGCCCCGUGUUGCCAUCGGGUAAAGCCGGGCACUCUCGGGGGACUGCCGGCGUCAAGCCGGAGGAAGGUGGGGACGACGUCAAGUCAUCAUGGCCCUUACGUCCAGGGCUACACACGUGCUACAAUGGCCGGUACAGAGGGCUGCGAACUCGCGAGAGAGAGCGAAUCCCAGAAAACCGGUCCAAGUUCGGAUCGCAGGCUGCAACCCGCCUGCGUGAAGCCGGAAUCGCUAGUAAUCGCGGAUCAGCUACGCCGCGGUGAAUACGUUCCCGGGCCUUGUACACACCGCCCGUCACGCCAUGGAAGUCGGGAGCGCCCGAAGUCCGUGUGCUAACCCGCAAGGGAGGCAGCGGCCGAAGGCGAGCUCGAUGACUGGGGCGAAGUCGUAACAAGGUAGCCGUAGGGGAACCC